UGGGGAAUAUUGGACAAUGGGCGCAAGCCUGAUCCAGCCAUGCCGCGUGAGUGAUGAAGGCCCUAGGGUUGUAAAGCUCUUUCACCGGUGAAGAUAAUGACGGUAACCGGAGAAGAAGCCCCGGCUAACUUCGUGCCAGCAGCCGCGGUAAUACGAAGGGGGCUAGCGUUGUUCGGAUUUACUGGGCGUAAAGCGCACGUAGGCGGACUAUUAAGUCAGGGGUGAAAUCCCGGGGCUCAACCCCGGAACUGCCUUUGAUACUGGUAGUCUUGAGUUCGAGAGAGGUGAGUGGAAUUCCGAGUGUAGAGGUGAAAUUCGUAGAUAUUCGGAGGAACACCAGUGGCGAAGGCGGCUCACUGGCUCGAUACUGACGCUGAGGUGCGAAAGCGUGGGAAGCAAACAGG
rnacentral:rRNA from 1 species